GCCGGCGAUGGUUCAUUCAAAUUUCUUCCCUAUCAACUUUCGAUGUUUGGGUAUUGGCCAAACAUGGUUGCAACGGGUAACGGAGGGUUAGGGCUCGACCCCGGAGAAGGAGCCUGAGAAACGGCUACUACAUCCAAGGAAGGCAGCAGGCGCGCAAAUUACCCAAUCCCGACACGGGGAGGUAGUGACAAUAAAUACUGAUACAGGGCUCUUUUGGGUCUUGUAAUUGGAAUGAGUACAAUUUAAAUCCCUUAACGAGGAACAAUUGGAGGGCAAGUCUGGUGCCAGCAGCCGCGGUAAUUCCAGCUCCAAUAGCGUAUAUUAAAGUUGUUGUGGUUAAAAAGCUCGUAGUUGAACCUUGGGCCUGGCUGGCCGGUCCGCCUCACCGCGUGUACUGGUCCGGCCGGGCCUUUCCCUCUGUGGAACCCCAUGCCCUUCACUGGGCGUGGCGGGGAAACAGGACUUUUACUGUGAAAAAAUUAGAGUGCUCCAGGCAGGCCUAUGCUCGAAUACAUUAGCAUGGAAUAAUAGAAUAGGACGUGUGGUUCUAUUUUGUUGGUUUCUAGGACCGCCGUAAUGAUUAAUAGGGACAGUCGGGGGCAUCAGUAUUCAAUUGUCAGAGGUGAAAUUCUUGGAUUUAUUGAAGACUAACUACUGCGAAAGCAUUUGCCAAGGAUGGGGGGCAUCAGUAUUCAAUUGUCAGAGGUGAAAUUCUUGGAUUUAUUGAAGACUAACUACUGCGAAAGCAUUUGCCAAGGAUGUUUUCAUUAAUCAGGAACGAAAGUUAGGGGAUCGAAGACGAUCAGAUA
rnacentral:rRNA from 1 species